AGAGUUUGAUCCUGGCUCAGGACGAACGCUGGCGGCGCGCCUAACACAUGCAAGUCGAACGGGACUAUACUGGAAGAAGUUUUCGGAUGGAUUUCGGUAUAGUUUAGUGGCGGACGGGUGAGUAACACGUGAGCAACCUGCCUUCGAGAGGGGAAUAACGGCUGGAAACGGUCGCUAAUACCGCAUAACAUACUGGGAGGACAUCCUGCUGGUAUCAAAGAUUUAUCGCUCGAAGAUGGGCUCGCGUCCGAUUAGGUAGUUGGUGAGGUAACGGCUCACCAAGCCGACGAUCGGUAGCCGGACUGAGAGGUUGAACGGCCACAUUGGGACUGAGACACGGCCCAGACUCCUACGGGAGGCAGCAGUGGGGGAUAUUGCACAAUGGGGGAAACCCUGAUGCAGCGACGCCGCGUGUGGGAAGACGGUCCUCUGGAUUGUAAACCACUGUCCCCAGGGACGAAAAUGACGGUACCUGGGGAGGAAGCUCCGGCUAACUACGUG
rnacentral:rRNA from 1 species